UCAUCGAUACGUUAAUUCACUUCUCUCUAGUCAUGUUAUUUGCUCUUUAAAAGUUGAAUGCUUGUUUCUGAAUGUGACGUCACAAAACAAAGAAACCCUCUGUUAUUGACGUUGACAGUUGACAUGACGACCAUUAUUGUAGGAAGGUACAGCGUUGUGUUUCGUACAUAUCCAGAAAUCGGACUUAAGAGAAGCAUAUCUAAUACAAUUUUCAAGAAGUACGAUAAAUCGGGAUUUGCCGAGUGUAAGAUCGUCAAACAAGUUUUCAUUACCAUAACAGCAAAAUUAUGAUUUCAAAUGAUUUAAGACCAUAAUCUUUCCACUGAACGCUCUCGCAAAAACACCUGGAGACUAUUCAAGUCCUACCUACUAUGAUAUAGGCUAGGUAGGCUACUACCUACAGCUGUAAGGCAUGGCUGUGACUUCAUUACAUUGCAGCGUGGCAAGAACCAAAUUUUUACCCAACACAUUUUAACAAUCUACUGACGAGACCAUCUUUUGCUCCUACACUUUGUGAGUUACUGGGCGGUUCUUCUUCAUCUGUAGUGGUUGGAUGUAAACUGUUUUGACUUGCUUCCAAAGGCAUGGUUGACCGUUGAUCUUCAAGCCGACCUGACUGGAAUCUCAUGAUAAGGGAGAAAAAGUCAUCAUCUGGUACAGUUGGGGCAGAGUGAGUUAUGGCACCUUCAUUUGGAAGGAAACUUCGCUGAUCUUCUAUGCGCGAUCCCUGAAAAAUGACAAUGCAAGUUGAAUUUUGCAUAACCUUAUUCUGAUAUCUCAUGAAAUGUCAUGUAACGGACAGCUAUUUCUGUUGUCUCUAAAAUAUGCUCUAUUUUUAGCAAUCAGUUUACACAAAAUUGUACCUUGAACUCGAGAUUUUGUAACUGCAGUAAAGAGAGUACAGCAGGUAA